AGAAAGUAGACUGUGGGACGUGUGGAGGAGACGACCACGUCAGAGACAGCUGGGGCCAGUCUGAGGAAUGUCACGCCCUGGGUCAGCGGCACUGCCGAUCAGUCAGGGUCACCAGACAGGUCUUAGGAGAACAUCGCUCGCUGGUUGAUCUACCAGAGAAUGCGAGAGACGCGAAGAACGGAUUUUGUGCGCGACACCGUUCUCUGGACAUUCACAGUGGCGCGACCCGGACACACAAAGCCCCAGGAUGGACGUGAUGGGAAACAGUUCGCUUGCUUUCAUUUUCAAAUAAAUGUAUAGGGCGUUUUGGCCAUGAUGCUGAUCAUGGCCUUCUUCCGGAAACACGUGACAGGUGGCAUUCCUGAGAAUGAAUGAAAAAGACUGUGCUCCAGACCCAAAGCUGUGAGCAGUAGGCACUCUGUCCACAACCUCAAUCUGGGAAAAUCACUUCCACAAAGGAUCUUUUAUGAAGAAUGUGAUCUGGGAGACUGGGGAGCCUCAGGAAAAAUGGCCUUGUCAUAUUUCUUUUGUUCUGCUCGACUUCAGAGUUCUGUCUUGAUUUUGUGAUUCCAUGUUUAAUGCGUGAAAGGAAGCUGAUUGGAAUUUGAAAGCCGAUUGAAGUUGGUAGGUCUUUGACUUCAUUUCUCAGCGUUCCCCUCAUCCUCCCCCUCCCUUUCUACCCAUUGAGAAGCCACAGUAGAGAGGGUCGCAAGACUCCUUGGCAGUCACUUCCACCAGGCAGUUUUGCCUAUGUUUGUCACCCACUGUGCCUCAUGCGUCCCCCACCUGCUUGCAUGGUGUCCUCUAAACGUUGUUGUGGCUCCAAUUGCACCGCAUUGUGCUGUUAGCUUAGCUGUCUGUGUGUUCUUCCCUACAUUAGACCUUCUUGAGGACAGAAAAUGUUUUGUCUUCUCACUAGGUCCUAGCAUAUGGCACAUGAUAUUUACUAAAUAAAAAACAUAUUGAGUAGGUGGUAGGGGUGGUCAUUUGUUUACAAAGAUGGCUGCAAUAAUUUUUCCCAUCCUACCCGCCAGUCCAUCUGCGGUGACUCUGCACUCCCCGUCGAGGGGUGGGAGUUAGUCCUUCACUCCUUGAAUCUGGGCUCGGCCAAUGGACGUUAGCAAAUGUGAUGCAAGCGGAAGCUUAAGAGCCGCUUGCACAAAAGGGCUGGCCCCUUUUCGUCUGUGUCCGUAACCCUGAGACUGAGAUGUGAACAAACCCGAGCAAGUUCCACAGAGGCCAUAUGCAGGAGAACUAAGCACGCCGGACAGCAGGCCGCCUGUAUCCAACUGGCCAACUGCGGACAAGUGGGUGAGGCCACCUUCGACCAUCAGCCCCAUUUAAGAUCCCAGAUGACUACAGACAGAUGAAUGACUCCAGACAAGACCAGCAGAAGAACAGCCCAGAUGAUACCAGCCCGAGUCGCUGACCCACGGAAUCAUGAACAAGCCAAUGAGGAAAUCGAAGCACUGAGAAGUAUGACCGAGACAGCAUUGCUCAUGCAAAGUUCUACCUGCUCUCCCGCAUGUCCCAGCCCCUUGCAGUUGGGUGGGACCGGAGGUGCUGGCAAAGUAAAGCCUGUGCAUGAUUCUCCCACUCUUCUCCUUCCCUGCAUGGUGCCUAGAAGGGUGGUGUCCAGAUGAGAAGGCAGACUGCCACAUGCAGCACCUCGUUUGGAUGUGUCUCGAGUCUUGGAAGCUUGAAUACCCUACGUUCUCCUACAAAUAGACCUUG